rnacentral:rRNA from 1 species
UGCAAGUCGAGCGGACAGAUGGGAGCUUGCUCCCUGAUGUUAGCGGCGGACGGGUGAGUAACACGUGGGUAACCUGCCUGUAAGACUGGGAUAACUCCGGGAAACCGGGGCUAAUACCGGAUGGUUGUUUGAACCGCAUGGUUCAGACAUAAAAGGUGGCUUCGGCUACCACUUACAGAUGGACCCGCGGCGCAUUAGCUAGUUGGUGAGGUAACGGCUCACCAAGGCGACGAUGCGUAGCCGACCUGAGAGGGUGAUCGGCCACACUGGGACUGAGACACGGCCCAGACUCCUACGGGAGGCAGCAGUAGGGAAUCUUCCGCAAUGGACGAAAGUCUGACGGAGCAACGCCGCGUGAGUGAUGAAGGUUUUCGGAUCGUAAAGCUCUGUUGUUAGGGAAGAACAAGUGCCGUUCAAAUAGGGCGGCACCUUGACGGUACCUAACCAGAAAGCCACGGCUAACUACGUGCCAGCAGCCGCGGUAAUACGUAGGUGGCAAGCGUUGUCCGGAAUUAUUGGGCGUAAAGGGCUCGCAGGCGGUUUCUUAAGUCUGAUGUGAAAGCCCCCGGCUCAACCGGGGAGGGUCAUUGGAAACUGGGGAACUUGAGUGCAGAAGAGGAGAGUGGAAUUCCACGUGUAGCGGUGAAAUGCGUAGAGAUGUGGAGGAACACCAGUGGCGAAGGCGACUCUCUGGUCUGUAACUGACGCUGAGGAGCGAAAGCGUGGGGAGCGAACAGGAUUAGAUACCCUGGUAGUCCACGCCGUAAACGAUGAGUGCUAAGUGUUAGGGGGUUUCCGCCCCUUAGUGCUGCAGCUAACGCAUUAAGCACUCCGCCUGGGGAGUACGGUCGCAA